AUUGAACGCUGGCGGCAGGCCUAACACAUGCAAGUCGAGCGGGGUUUUCGGACCUAGCGGCGGACGGGUGAGUAAUGCGUAGGAAGCUACCCGACAGAGGGGGAUACCAGUUGGAAACGACUGUUAAUACCGCAUAAUGUCUACGGACCAAAGUGUGGGACCUUCGGGCCACAUGCUGUCGGAUGCGCCUACGUGGGAUUAGCUAGUUGGUGAGGUAAUGGCUCACCAAGGCGACGAUCCCUAGCUGGUUUGAGAGGAUGAUCAGCCACACUGGAACUGAGACACGGUCCAGACUCCUACGGGAGGCAGCAGUGGGGAAUAUUGGACAAUGGGCGGCAAGCCUGAUCCAGCCAUGCCGCGUGUGUGAAGAAGGCCUCGGUUGUAAGUAGACUUCUACGCGGACGGAGGGAAGGGUUAGGUGUGUUAUAGUACACAUAG
rnacentral:rRNA from 1 species